GCAAAACCGAAAAAGAGAACACAGAAUAGAGAAGAGAAAGAGAGAGAGUGUGUAAAAUGGCGGAAGGUAGCUCCAGCACCGAUAUCCAGAGAAUACUCGCAGCCAUUAAAUCCUCUGAGAUUGUGGAGGAUCGCGUUCAGUUGUUUAGCGAUCUAGGACGCAUAGAAUUGAAGAACGUUUCCGAGUCCGACUAUGCUUCCGUCAUUAACUGCCUCGUAACUUUUUGGGAGAACUUCACAUGUUUGGAUGUGACCCAGUGCAUGCUCAAUAGAAGCAUUAUACACGUAGCUUUGAGCUAUAUGGAUUUUAACCCAUCCAGUUGCUUACCACAAUUUCUCACUCUUGGAGUUAAGGCCAGUGUCUGGUGUGGCAAGCAUUUAAAGAUGAGUCUUUUGUCGACUGAAGACUCUGAGGAAGAUGAACAUAGCUCUGUAUUUUACCAGCUUCUUAUGGAGAUCCUAAGGUUUUCUGCAUCAACUUUUUCAACUUUGUUGAAAUUCACUGAUUUUGGUGACAAGGAAUUGAUGGACACUGUUGAAAUCUUUAUUUUAGAAGCAUUAAAUCUGACCAAAGAUUCUAUAUCAGAUGCUAAGAAAAUUCAAUCAUUUGGGUCAGAAAUAUUGAAGGUUGCACACAUGGUCAUUGAUGCUGUGGUAAAAUUAUGCAAGACGCGUUCUGAAUUAAUAAACCAGGAGGGAGGUGAUGAAAAAUGGUUGAGGCUUGACAAGCCUGCUACUUUUGACCAUGUUAUCCACAUAACAAAAUGUGCAAUAGAAAAGCUGUCUCAGAUUGGUGUCCUUGCUGCAAAUGAUGGUGGCAACUCUGUCAAUAUUCUUAAUGUCUCCUGGAAAGGUGUUGUUUCUUUGCUUCAAGGUGGUGGUGGACAUUUUACAGAAGUUAACAUAGCAAAUAUAGUGUUAACUUUGCUUGCAUUGAUAACGGAGCCUCUGAAAUGUGCUGCCCAGGCUUGGUCUUCCUCACUGAAUGAAGCCAUUUCUGUGACUGAAGCUAAAAGGAUCUUUGUGCCAGUGAAAUUUUACCUAAUUAAUGCUGUAAAAAUAUGCUCACUGUAUCCUCAUCAGGCCUAUACAGUGUACAAGGAAAUUACGCUGUGUGUUCUCAAGAUCAAAUGUUUUUGGAUUUUUGUAAGUAACGAAAACCUUCUGAAAUGUGCAUCUGUGAUAAUUACUGAAUUACUGGAGGAAACAACAUUGAAUUUGCUAUUGUCUUUGCUAAAUUCUCAUAAACUGAAACUGGAACAGAGGCUUCAGGUGCUAGAAUGGUUGUUCAUUAAUAAAGGGGAUUGUCAUUCUGGCCUUGAUUGUCCAACCUUAAGUGAUUGUAACCUUGCAUGGGUUAAUGAAAUCUUUUGCAAUAGUUAUGAAAGUAUGAGCAGAUCAAAAAUACUAAUACUUGGUCGAGUUGUAUUGUUUAUUAACUUCCUCAGACAUUCGCUUGAGCUUGAUGGAGAUGUGAGAAUAGCAAUAACUCAGAAGCUUUAUUGGUUUUUGGAUGUUUUAGUUGAGGAAGAUGUCUAUUCUCAUAUACUUGUUUUGCAAUUUCCUUUAUUGUAUGGCUCUGGAAAAACAGUGGAACUCUUGUGGCAGCCUAUGUUUACUUUCCUCUUGCAAGCAUUCAAAACCUUCAUGAUCGUGAUCUCUUCAAGUACAGCUUGGGAGGAGUUGGAGUCUUUCUUAUCAGAGAAUUUCUUUCAUCCUCACUUUUUAUGCUGGGAGAUUGUGAUGGAAUGCUGGUGCUUUAUGCUGCGAUAUGCUGAAACACAAAUGGCAAACAGCAUUCUUGGAAAACUAUGUUCAUUACUUAAGCUGUCGGCAUCCUCAUACUCAGUUUUCCUGCCUUAUUCUUCCUUCAGAAAGUUGGCAAGAUCAAUAUGCAUGCUUUUAACCGAUGGUGCACAAUCAAUGGUUAACGUGGUGUACAUGUCUCUUGUUGGUGAUGGGAAAUCCCAUUUGUCAUCAGUUUUUUGUUUGGCUUUGUUCAUGGAAGGUUUUCCUUUUGAUUUACUGACAGAUGAAUUGAGAAAGACUUCUAUUCAAAGAAUUAUAUCUGACUAUUUUGACUUCAUAGACAACUUUGAUGAAGCACCAAUGGUGGCAUGCUCCUCUGGUUUGUUUGGUGUUCCAGUUUUUAUUCUUUCUGUUUCUUUGCAAUCACUCCAGGAUGGACUAUCUGAUAUUGAUGAAAGGGCCUUGAAGUUUUUGGUUGCAAUUUCUUCUAAUUACAAAAGUACUGUAGACAAAGUAAUCAAGGACCGUUUUCUUCAGCUUUUCAGUGAAACUCUUGGGAUCAUCUCCUAUUUGAAAAAACUGUAUACCUCAAAUGCUAUUGAACAAGUCAUCAUGGAGAUUCAAAAUAUCUUUUUGUCUGAGCCUCCAGCCCUUUUGGACAAAUGCAAACCACAUUUGGCCCAAUUCCUUGCAGGACUUGUUCACAUGGAAAUUUCCGAAAGUGAUGAUGAUGCUAAGAGCUGUGCUGUGUGGGAAUUAUAUCACUUGCUCUUGAAAGAGCGGCACUGGGCACUCAGUCACUUGGCAAUAACUGCAUUUGGAUAUUUUGCUUCUCAUACUAGGUGCAAUAAGCUAUGGAGAUUUGUUCCAGAAGAUGCAGCGCUUUCAUAUGAUACAGUUUCAGGAGUGGAGUCAGAUCAGCAAAGAUUUAUGGUUGAGUUUGGAAAAUUUCUUAAAAAGGAAAUAGCUCUUCUUACACUUGAACCAAGCCCUGAACAGCUUGAUCUUCUAGGGAGAGAAGGUUUUGUGUUGAAACAGAUGGUCCAAAAGAUUUCAGCCACUGGUGAAGAGAGAGAGAAAUGUGAGAUCGUGGAUGUUGAUCACAAGAACCAAUCAAAUAAAAAGAGGAAACUUCCUGAUGGAAUUAGCAGAGGAGUGGAAUUGCUGAAAAAUGGUUUAAAAAUUAUUGGUGACGGUUUUUCCCAGUGGCAGCUUAAUGAUUUUGAUACCACUGAACUGCAUGUAAAAUAUUUGACUCAGUUUUCUCAACUUGAAGACGUAAUUACUAACUUUGAGGAAUUGACCGGCAGCGGUGAGUGAUUUAGCAUUAUGUAGCAUUCGAGUACGAAAUCUGUCUACGUCAAGACAAAGUUGCUUAUGUACCGCAGCAAUGUCUUCACUUUAAAUGAGGAGGUGAGAAGUGAGAUAAGAAGAAAGGAAGAUAGAAAGUGAAACAUGAGAUAAAUAAUGUGAUGUAACACAGACAAAAACUAGGUGAUAAUACUGUGGAGGAGUAUGAAUAAUAAAUUAAUUUGAAACACUGCUGAACGUGCCUAAUUUUUUAGCGGAUAUUUUGUCUUUAUGAGCGAAAAAUUAAAUUUGUUCAAAGGCUCAUAAUCAAAUUCUAUUAAAAAACAAUUAAAACAUUUGAGUUAAAAACCAUAGCUAUUGUGUAUAUAAUGUAAUCGUUUAGAAGAUUUAAUUUCUGU